UACACUCCUACGGGAGGCAGCAGUGGGGAAUAUUGCACAAUGGGCGCAAGCCUGAUGCAGCCAUGCCGCGUGUAUGAAGAAGGCCUUCGGGUUGUAAAGUACUUUCAGCGGGGAGGAAGGCAAUACGGUUAAUAACCGUGUUGAUUGACGUUACCCGCAGAAGAAGCACCGGCUAACUCCGUGCCAGCAGCCGCGGUAAUACGGAGGGUGCAAGCGUUAAUCGGAAUUACUGGGCGUAAAGCGCACGCAGGCGGUCUGUCAAGUCGGAUGUGGAAUCCCCGGGCUCAACCUGGGAACUGCAUUCGAAACUGGCAGGCUUGAGUCUUGUAGAGGGGGGUAGAAUUCCAGGUGUAGCGGUGAAAUGCGUAGAGAUCUGGAGGAAUACCGGUGGCGAAGGCGGCCCCCUGGACAAAGACUGACGCUCAGGUGCGAAAGCGUGGGGAGCAAACAGGAUUAGAUACCCGUGUAGUCC
rnacentral:rRNA from 1 species